rnacentral:lncRNA from 13 species
AUGGUGAAUUUUCACGGUCAUUUUUCACUGGGUCCUGAAUGGGUCUCAGAGGAAAGCAGUUUAACAUUAAAAAAAAACCUUCAGUGUUGGAACCUGAACCCUCUGAGUUUGUAUGUCAGAUCUGCUACAAUGAAGGUAGAUGUCUGUCUUGGUUUUUUUUGUUUGUUUUUUUGUUUUGUUUUGUUUUGUUUUCAGACAGAGUCUCACUUUGCCAUCCAGGCUGCAGUGCAGUGGCUCUAUCUCAGUUCAAUGCAACCUCCACCUCCUGUGUUCAAGCGAUUCUCGUGCCUCAGCCACCAGGAGAGCUGGGAUUAUAGAUGCUUCCUGCCCUUGAACAUCAAACACCAAGUUCUAAAGCGUUGGGCCUCUUAGACUUGCACCAGUGGUUUGCCAGGGGCUCCUGGGUCUUUGUCCAGAGACUGAAUGCUACACUGUGGACUUCCCUAGUUUUGAGGAUUUUGGAAUUGAACUGGCUUCCCUGCUCUUCAGCUUGCAGACAGCCUAUUGUGGGACUUCAACUUGUGAUCACGCUCCAGAAGCAGAUGAACAGAUGAGAAGAUGAGGAGACAAGCAGACGGAUUGCAGAAAGGCACCGCAAAGAAAGAGAAAAGAGGAGGAACGUCUGAACACCGAGCGUUCAGCUGGGGUGGUCGGAAAAGAGUUCGGCCACUAGAUGGCCAAAUUCCAGGGAAGAUCAUCUUCCCACUACGUUCCCUGCUUCUGGUUCCCCAUCCAUCCCACUGAGAGCCACCUCUACCAUUCAGUAAAACCCUUCAUUUAUCCUUUAAGCCCAUGUGUUACCUGAUACGUCUGGGAUGCUGGGCAAGAGCUAAGGAUACAAAAAGCGGUUGCACUGCCCCUCUGCCCUUGCAGACAGUCAGAGGGUCCAUUGAGCAGGUUAACACACAAACCGUCCAUGGAUGGCAAGGCUAAAAGGGCACAUGGUAACACACUCCCACUUAGGCUCCUUCGCCUGCCUGUCUGUGUGCUCCCCGUCCCAUAUGGGAUUUGAGGAGUGGUGGUGACCAAACCAGCAAGCCACACCUCUGUCACAUGUCCUUCGAGGGGGAUCCGGGAACUCUCCUGUUUUACUAUAACAGAGAACACUGAAGGAGGAUGGGUUAUGGGACUGGGAAAGACCAGGAGUUCAGCUUUGGACCUGUUCAGUUUGAGUUGCCUGUAAGGCAGCAAGUGGAGAUGAUUGGUAGACAGGUGGAUACAAAUAUCUGGAGCUCAAAGGCGUUAGAAGUAGUAAUUUUGGUGUUGUGAGUGUAUAGAUCAUAACUGAAGAUGUGGCAUGGAUAAAAUCACAUAGGAAAAGAGUACACUAGGAGAAAAUGAGAGACUCUAUGCAGGUUUUCAAGAACUGCAAAAUUUAAAAGUUAAGUAUAGGAGAAUGGGCUGGAAAGAUGAGGGGAAAAUCAAGAGCACAUGUACAGAAAAGGUAAAAAAGAGUCAUUAAACUAGUGAUAUGGAGGUCACUAGAGUCCUUCCAGAAAGCAAAAACUUGCUUACAAGUUCAAGAGGACAGUGAGGUUGUCCCCUUACAUGCCCCUGAGCCCAGGUUAAGAAUUUCUGCCUGUGACUUCCAAAGUCAUCUAACAAGGUAACCUAAUGGGAUUCAAAGUAUUAAUUCUCUACUCUCUCCAUGGCAAGAAAAUUUGUUUAGCUGACUUUAAUGUCAUUUGAAACUAUGUGAUUUUGUGUCCCCAGGCAGGGUACUGGUUCAAAGAAAGAGGUUAUACUAAUAUAAAUAAAGCAGCUUCUUUGUUUGUCCA